rnacentral:rRNA from 1 species
AACGAACGCUGGCGGCAUGCCUAACACAUGCAAGUCGAGCGCGCCCUUCGGGGUGAGCGGCUCACGGGUGAGUAACGCUUUGGAACGUGCCCUUCUCUGCGGACUCGCCUCUGGAAUCUCACAUUAAUACCGCUUACGCUCUUUGACGGAAAGAGUUAUCGCAUAAGGAUCGACCCGCGUUGGAUUAGGUAGUUGGUGGGGUAAUGGCCUACCAAGGCGACGAUUCCUAGCUGGUUUGAGAGGAUGUUCAGGCACACUGGGACUGCGACACGGCCCAGACUCCUACGGGAGGCAGGAGUGGGGAAUAUUAGAAAAUGGGGGAAACCCUGAUGUAGCCAUGCCGCGUGAGUGAUGAAGGACUUAGGGAUGUAAAGCUCUAUCAGCUGGGAAGAUAAUGACGGUACCAGCAGAAGAAGCCCCGGCUAACUACGUG